GACGAACGCUGGCGGCGUGCCUAAUACGUGCAAGUGGGACGCAAGGGAACACACUGUGCUUGCACACCGUGUUUUCUUGAGUCGCGAACGGGUGAGUAACGCGUAGGUAACCUGCCUAUUAGCGGGGGAUAACUAUUGGAAACGAUAGCUAAUACCGCAUAAUAUUAAUUAUUGCAUGAUAAUUGAUUGAAAGAUGCAAGCGCAUCACUAGUAGAUGGACCUGCGUUGUAUUAGCUAGUUGGUAAGGUAAGAGCUUACCAAGGCGACGAUACAUAGCCGACCUGAGAGGGUGAUCGGCCACACUGGGACUGAGACACGGCCCAGACUCCUACGGGAGGCAGCAGUAGGGAAUCUUCGGCAAUGGACGAAAGUCUGACCGAGCAACGCCGCGUGAGUGAAGAAGGUUUUCGGAUCGUAAAGCUCUGUUGUAAGUCAAGAACGUGUGUGAGAGUGGAAAGUUCACACAGUGACGGAGCUACCAGAAAG
rnacentral:rRNA from 1 species